rnacentral:lncRNA from 1 species
GGUGUGGGGACUUCUUCUAGGCGUGAGAGGCUGCUGGUUUGGAUGCUCUAGGGAAGUUAGGGGAGAUCCCUUUAAAUAGGCAUGAGGAUUGAAUCUUAUUCAAUCUCAUAAUACAAGUCCUACUUGCAUUAGAUUUCCUAUUAACUUAAGUUAUCCAACUUACUUUAGGAGAUCCUUUAGAUGCCAAUAAUUGGAGCUCUUGUACCCAUAAUUAGACAUCCCAAAAUAUACCCA